rnacentral:rRNA from 1 species
AUACGGAGGGGGCAAGCGUUGUUCGGAAUUACUGGGCGUAAAGGGCGCGUAGGCGGAUUAUCAAGUCAGAGGUGAAAGCCCUGGGCUCAACCUGGGAACUGCCUUUGAAACUGAUAGUCUUGAGUCCGAGAGAGGAUGGCGGAAUUCCCAGUGUAGAGGUGAAAUUCGUAGAUAUUGGGAAGAACACCAGUGGCGAAGGCGGCCAUCUGGCUCGGUACUGACGCUGAGGCGCGAAAGCGUGGGGAGCAAACAGGAUUAGAAACCCCAGUAGUCC